GUGAGAACUAAAAACCUGAAAAGCCCUGGAAAUCAAGGUGGCAGAACUGGUUUGCUGACAGGAUACAGUAGAAAGGUUUUGCUCAUACCUUGUCAAUCUUUGGCAGAUAUGCAGUGGAUGAUCCAGUAGAGAACAGUAGUGAUGGGACAAUCGGAGAUGCGGUUCUCUUCUCUAGAAGAACUAUAGAGAUCAUCUCAACACAAUCUUCAGUCAAAGAGCUGAGUCUGGGGCCACCCAGGUAUGGAUGAUUGAAGUGAAUGGAGCCUAAUAAAUUAACUGAAGUUCCCAGCAUUUUGGAGAUGGGAUCUUCCCUAUUGG